CCGUGCCCCUGCUCGCGCUGCAGCCCGUGGAAGGGUUCCGUCCAGCGUAUCCUUCAGAUCUUGCUGUAGGCCUCUCGUGUCUGCGCGCGCGGCAGGGGCGGUGGCGGCGACGGCCGGAGGUGUACGGUCAGCAGGUUGCGGAGGAUCGUGCGGGUAGCAAAGGCAGGCCGAGUGCUCCUGCGGCUCCCAGAGGGCAACCAGGUGUAAAUCCAAACCGCUUCCAACUCAAGGCAAGUAACAGCCCACGGUGUUCUGGCAGGAAAACAUCAGCUAAGAAAGGAAACUGGGUCCUAUGGCUUGGACUUUCCAACUCUGACAGACCAGCAGGACAGAAACAACUGGUUCAGGAGCCCUUGCCAGCCUCUAGAGAAAUCCCAGAACACUCAGCCCUGACACAUUAAUACCCUGCACAUAUUGGAGACUGCUGGCCACGCAUACUCACCAAGCCACAGACUUGUCUUCCACAUGUACUAAAGGUUGAAAUCGGAGACAUGUACAGGGUAUUAAACACAUUACCAAGGGGAACAGUUAACUUCAAUAUAACUUGAAUAGAAAGUCAAAAUCAGCAACAAGUCUACAAUCCAGUGCUGAUAUCAGAUACAAGCUUCAAGGACAACUUUAUUUGUAUGUUUUUUUUUUUUUUUUUUGCUUUUUUUUUUUGAGACGGAGUCUCACCCUGUUGCCCAGGCUGGAGUGCAGUGGUGCAGUCUCGGCUCACCACAGCCUCCGCCUCCCAGGUUCAAGCGAUUCUCCUGCCUCAGCCUCCCCAGUAGCUGGGAUUAUAGGCGAAUGCCACCAUGCCUGGCUAAUUUUUGUAUUUUUAGUAGAGACGGGGUUUCAGCAUGUUGGCCAGGCCGGUUUCGAAAUCCUGACCUUGUGAUCCACCCAUCUCAGCCUCCCAGAGUGCUGGGAUUAUAGGCAUGAGCCACCACACCUGACCACAAAUUUCUUUUUGAAGGCUUAUUCCAGUUUUGUGAGGCUAGCAUGAGGUGUAUGCAUUUGCCAGGGGCAAAUUUAUACUGCUGAAUUAACCC
rnacentral:sRNA from 1 species